rnacentral:lncRNA from 1 species
GAAAGACUCCCCAGUAGACUGGUAAUUGCUCUAGAUCGUUCUCCCCAUUUUGUUUCUCAUGCUUUCCUAUUUUAAAAUGUAAUUUCUAUAUUCCUGCUUUGCUAGGAGGUUGGAGAUGGGAGGGAGAUAAUAUAUUGAUCUGUUGAGAGAAGUUUUGUAUUUCGACCAGUGAUCCUGAACUUUGAGCUAGAUAAACUAACUGAAUCAGAGUUUGGAUUAUCUCUCCUGGAAAGGGAACAAGUAUGUUCUAUUUGUGGAAAGAAAUUUGCAUCUAAAUAGUUGGGUAGCUGAGCAAAUAUUGUACCAGAGACUGCUAUCUGUCUACCAAAUUCCAUUCUGUCCUUCCUUUAUGGCAAAUACAGAUUAAGGUCUCCUGUGAGGUUUGUUUCCUGGAGGAGUCCAGAAAGAAGCUGUUCUCUGCUGAACCAUGGGUCAAGGAAAAUGUUGACAGAACUAUCAACUCUCAAUUUCCUAAACUUGGCAGGGUUCAAACUUCCAAGACAAAGCUGAUAGUGUCAAGGUUGUAUUAGUAACAGCCUUUCAAAUGGAGAAAACAUAUACACAGGAGGAGAAGGCCGAAGACAGCUGAAAGCCUAAAUGUUUGUUGCAAGCAGUCUAAGGAAUUGAUUGAUUUCAACCAAUGGACUCAUGAACUCACUGACAUCUGGAAGUUAGAAUCAAGACCCAGAGUGGCUAUCAGCCUUCUGUUCACCACUUCUUGAUAAAGCAGUACUCUGAUGGUGGAUUAUCUAUCUCGGGCCUUAGAAGACUAUUCUGAGAAUACCAUCACUGCAGAAUACCAUCACCACAGCUUCAGGUGGGUCCACCUUCAUUAUUACUCUAGCUCUGCUAUUCAUGAUAAUAACUACAUCAAACUUGCAUCUGGCUUCUGCCAUUCUGGAAUCUCAUUAUCCCCAUUGUCAGUAUGGAGGUGUGGCAGCAUCUUUUACCAUCAACCCCAGUCUAUAGAGCACACCUACUAUUACUCCUCUCAAAGAUAGCUAAGACUCAACUGUGGCUUUAAGAGCAAAGAUUGAAUUUCUCUGAUGUAGGAGGAAUUCUUCUCAAGACUGCAACAUGGAAAUCCUGAGUUUCCAGCCCUCUACCCUGUGGAAUUCAGUUAGAAGAAAACAAUUCAAACAAGACUACAUCAAUUGUUACCUGAAUUUCUAGCCUCAUCAGUCCCCACAAAUGAAGGAACCAAUUGCUUAAAAUUUUUGAAAUCUCCUUCCCUCC